CCUACGGGAGGUAGCAGUGGGGAAUCUUGCACAAUGGGGGAAACCCUGAUGCAGCGACGCCGCGUGAGCGACGAAGCCCUUCGGGGUGUAAAGCUCUUUCGGCAGGGACGAUAAUGACGGUACCUGCAGAAGAAGCUGCGGCUAACUACGUGCCAGCAGCCGCGGUAAUACGUAGGCAGCGAGCGUUGUUCGGAAUUACUGGGCGUAAGGCGUGCGUAGGCGGUCGGCUAAGUUUGGUGUGAAAUCUCCCGGCUCAACCGGGAGGGUGCGCCGAAAACUGGCCGGCUAGAGGGCGGGAGAGGGAAGUGAAAUUCCUGGUGUAGCGGUAAAAUGCGUAGAUAUCAGGAGGAACACCGAUGGCGAAGGCAGCCCCCGGGGUUGGCACUGACGCUCAGGCACGAAAGCGUGGGGAGCAAACAGGAUUAGAUCCCCCGGUAGU
rnacentral:rRNA from 1 species